AUGACAGCCGCCCCUGCUUACUUUAAGCAAAGCCUUUUUAAACCACCAUCUUCACUGUAUUCAUAUACUUAAAGUGUAAUUCGAAAAUUGAAUCCACUGUCUUUUUAUGGGCAUGUAUACCCAUCAAAUAAGCCCUCCAGAUACUUUUUUCUGUCAUGGUCUGUCUGUUUCCUUGUCUUGUUUUGGUGUGUUUCCUGUUUUACUUUAUCUCUCUCUUGUUUCUCCCCAUGUCCGGUCAAGUUUCCCUCCUGUGUGAUAACUGCUCCCUCCCCUAAUGUGUUUCAGCUGUAACUCAUUGCGUGCCCUGUGUUUAGUAUUUAAGCCCUUGUCUUUCCUUUGUUCCUUGUCGGAUCAUUGUAGUUCGUGGUGAGUUGUGUCCUGUGUGUUACCGGUGUUCACUGUGUUACCCGCGUCACUCGUGUUCUCGGUGUUCCUUGCCUUUUGAUUAAUAAAUUAUCCUUUACCCGAACUGUCUGCUUUUGGGUCCUACCUGCCUGCCUGCCACCCGCUAACCGUGACAUUUUCAUUGAAAAUCAAGUAUAGAGUUUACCCAGCGCAAUGUUUGGCUUCCAUGUUAUUGGUUAGGGGCAACGCGAAACAAAGACCCUAUGUUCAAUUUUCGCCGGAAAUACACUUUAAAUCCUUGCAUGGUCAUGCUUUCAGACAGGUUCAACCGGAACAGUAGUCUCGGGUUCGCUAAAUGAAACUGAUCCGUGGUCAUCAUCGGUGAAUUAGUACAAACAAGCAUGAGAAUAUUAAAACAUACUCAAAUGCUGAAGUUCUCUUGAACCAAUAUUUUUGUUGGUGUCCAGGUCUCCAGUCUACUAUGAACGAGGAGAGAGACGAGGCGGGUCUUGCAUCUAAAACCCCUCUGUCUGAGGAACAUGGCUGCCAGAGUGAAGCUAAGAGAAGAUUCCAACAGGAGAGAGCAGACUGCCCUGUGCCCAGCUGUGCCUCCCUGAAGAGAGACUGGUCUAUGGAGCAUCCUCCUCAAUUUAAAGAAGGACGCCCCACUGGAGAGCAGAAAAGAGUCCAACAGGAGAGAGCAGACUGCCCUGUGCCCAGCUGUGCCUCCCUGAAGAGAGACUGGUCUAUGGAGCAACCUCCUCAAUUUACAGAAGGAAGCCCCACUGGAGAGGAGAAGUAGGAGCUUCCUACAGACAAUGAAUCACACCAUUUAUUAUGACGUGAUUCUAUUUCUGGAGCUUCAAACUCUGUGCAUCAUAUCUAAACAUCAUCCAAUUAUCUGC
ensembl:lncRNA